UUUAAAUGAUGAAUAACAUCCUCUUGGUCCGUGUUUAUGAAAGACAUGAUUCUGUGAAGAGGUCUGAUGUG